rnacentral:rRNA from 1 species
AUUGCACAAUGGGGGAAACCCUGAUGCAGCGACGCCGCGUGAAGGAAGAAGUAUCUCGGUAUNUAAACUUCUAUCAGCAGGGAAGNNAANNNCNGUACCUGACUAAGAAGCCCCGGCUAACUACGUGCCANNNGCCGCGGUAAUACGUAGGGGGCAAGCGUUAUCCGGAUUUACUGGGUGUAAAGGGAGCGUAGACGGAAGAGCAAGUCUGAUGUGAAAGGCUGGGGCUUAACCCCAGGACUGCAUUGGAAACUGUUGUUCUAGAGUGCCGGAGAGGUAAGCGGAAUUCCUAGUGUAGCGGUGAAAUGCGUAGAUAUUAGGAGGAACACCAGUGGCGAAGGCGGCUUACUGGACGGUAACUGACGUUGAGGCUCGAAAGCGUGGGGAGCAAACAG